UAGGGAAUCUUCCGCAAUGGGCGAAAGCCUGACGGAGCAAUGCCGCGUGAGUGAUGAAGGUUUUCGGAUCGUAAAGCUCUGUUGCCAGGGAAGAACGUCCUUGAGAGUAACUGCUCAAGGAGUGACGGUACCUGAGAAGAAAGCCCCGGCUAACUACGUGCCAGCAGCCGCGGUAAUACGUAGGGGGCAAGCGUUGUCCGGAAUUAUUGGGCGUAAAGCGCGCGCAGGCGGUCAUUUAAGUCUGGUGUUUAAUCCCGGGGCUCAACCCCGGAUCGCACUGGAAACUGGGUGACUUGAGUGCAGAAGAGGAGAGUGGAAUUCCACGUGUAGCGGUGAAAUGCGUAGAUAUGUGGAGGAACACCAGUGGCGAAGGCGACUCUCUGGGCUGUAACUGACGCUGAGGCGCGAAAGCGUGGGGAGCAAACAGG
rnacentral:rRNA from 1 species